UUUUCAAACCAUUUGAAAAAGGAUUUGGAUUCAAAUAACGUGGAUAAAGUUAGUUCUUCAAUAACAAGCUUUUUUGCUCAAUUUUCCGAUAUGAGGACAACAGGCUACUACAGGACUUUGGUAGAGAGAGCACACUCUAAAAUUGUUCAGGAAUACGUAAGAGUCCUUAUUAACAGUUCUCUGAGAUGUACAUCAAAUAACCGGACUCAGACAUCCAGAAAAAUUAUUCAGGACUCCCAGCAGCUGCAACAGGUCUUUGCAGAACAACACUCAAGUGCCACUUGCCUAAACAAACCUAUCCUAGAUGUGGCAGAAAUCAUUCAAAUUAAUGAUAUUAAUGCAUUGAAGACUGAGGUUGCUGCAUUUGUUUAUAACUACCCUGAUGUAAGGUAGGUGAUCAUGUAAAACUCAAUUUUUAUUGAUAUUCUUUUCUGAGGAGAUCUUAAGCUGCCAAAUUGAAAAAGUUGACAGAUUCAAAAACAUCUAGCAAUUUAUAAACAUAAUUUUAGAAAAGCCCUAAUUAAAUUGGAAUUGAAUGUUAUUGUGUUGCCAUAGUUUUACUUAGCAGAGAGAUGACUGGUGGUGAUUUAAUCUGAGGGCCACCAUACCUCAGGCAAGGGGAGAGGUCGAGAAGGAGAGUCCUUCAUAGUAGCCUCAGCCAG